UACGGAGGAUGCAAGCGUUAUCCGGAUUCAUUGGGUUUAAAGGGCGCGUAGGCGGACUAUUAAGUCAGUGGUGAAAGCCUGCAGCUUAACUGCAGAACUGCCAUUGAUACUGAUAGUCUUGAGUUUGGUUAAGGUAGGCGGAAUGUGUAAUGUAGCGGUGAAAUGCUUAGAUAUUACACAGAACACCAAUUGCGUAGGCAGCUUACAGAGCCGACACUGACGCUGAGGCACGAAAGCGUGGGGAUCGAACA
rnacentral:rRNA from 1 species